GACGAACGCUGGCGGCGUGCUUAACACAUGCAAGUCGAACGGAAAGGCCCUGCUUUUGUGGGGUGCUCGAGUGGCGAACGGGUGAGUAACACGUGAGUAACCUGCCCUUGACUUUGGGAUAACUUCAGGAAACUGGGGCUAAUACCGGAUAGGAGCUCCUGCUGCAUGGUGGGGGUUGGAAAGUUUCGGCGGUUGGGGAUGGACUCGCGGCUUAUCAGCUUGUUGGUGGGGUAGUGGCUUACCAAGGCUUUGACGGGUAGCCGGCCUGAGAGGGUGACCGGCCACAGUGGGACUGGGAUACGGCCCAGACUCCUACGGGAGGCAGCAGUGGGGAAUAUUGCACAAUGGGCGGAAGCCGGAUGCAGCAACGCCGCGUGCGGGAUGACGGCCUUCGGGUUGUAAACCGCUUUCGCCUGUGACGAAGCGUGAGUGACGGUAAUGGGUAAAGAGGCACCGGCUAACUACGU
rnacentral:rRNA from 1 species